UCAGGUGGCCGCAGAGAAUAGGCCCAAGCGACUGUUUACCAAAAACAUAGGUUUCUGCUAAGUCGCAAGACGAUGUAUAGGAGCUGACGCCUGCCCGGUGCUGGAAGGUUAAGGGGAUCUGUUAGAGCAAUCGAAGCAGUGAACUUAAGCCCCAGUAAACGGCGGCCGUAACUAUAACGGUCCUAAGGUAGCGAAAUUCCUUGUCGGGUAAGUUCCGACCCGCACGAAAGGCGUAACGAUUUGGGCACUGUCUCAACAACAGACUCGGUGAAAUUGUAAUUCCGGUGAAGAUGCCGGAUACCUGCGACAGGACGGAAAGACCCCAUGGAGCUUUACUGUAGCUUGACAUUGGGUCUUGGUACUACAUGUACAGGAUAGGUGGGAGGCUUUGAAACCAGGACGACAGUUUUGGCGGAGCCAUCCUUGGGCUACCACCCUUGUAGUACUGGGACUCUAACCAUAGGCCAUGAAUCUGGUCUUGGGACACUGUCAGGUGGGCAGUUUGACUGGGGCGGUCGCCUCCCAAAAGGUAACGGAGGCGCUCAAAGGUUCUCUCAGUACGGUCGGAAAUCGUACGUAGAGUGUAAAGGCAAAAGAGAGCUUGAUUGCAAGACAUACAGGUCGAGCAAGGAUGAAAA
rnacentral:rRNA from 1 species